ACGCGGGUCACUGAUCAGCAUGCCGCGUGAGUGAAGAAGGCCUUCGGGUUGUAAAGCUCUUUUGUCAGGGAAGAAACGGUAGUAGCGAAUAACUAUUACUAAUGACGGUACCUGAAGAAUAAGCACCGGCUAACUACGUGCCAGCAGCCGCGGUAAUACGUAGGGUGCAAGCGUUAAUCGGAAUUACUGGGCGUAAAGCGUGCGCAGGCGGUUGUGUAAGUCAGAUGUGAAAUCCCCGGGCUCAACCUGGGAAUUGCAUUUGAGACUGCACGGCUAGAGUGUGUCAGAGGGGGGUAGAAUUCCACGUGUAGCAGUGAAAUGCGUAGAUAUGUGGAGGAAUACCGAUGGCGAAGGCAGCCCCCUGGGAUAACACUGACGCUCAUGCACGAAAGCGUGGGGAGCAAACAGGAUUAGAUACCCUGGGUAGUCCAAAAGA
rnacentral:rRNA from 1 species